rnacentral:lncRNA from 1 species
AUGUUUAUACAUAUAUGAUAACAAGAUUUGAUUACCUAAAAUGUACUUUAGCGUUGCAGUCCCGUUGUUGCUCUAGAUCUCAGUUUUGCUUGAAAGAUGACUGUUCAUCAUGCAUUUUGCAGCUCUCUUCCCUGGUUGAUCCAACCCUAAUAUAGUGAAAACUUACAAGCGUUAUGUAUAGUUUAUUGAGAAUUUGCUAUUUUUUUACUAUUUAAUAAACUCUGGGAACUGGCAAGAAAUUAAACACAAACUGUACAGAUCCCUUAGACAAUGCCACUUGGACGGCCAAAUAAUUUGAUCUAAUAGCUUCCUUUAUAUGCACGGAUAGUUUAAUGAAUAUUUUGCUCACCCAAAUGGUGGAAAAUGUUUUCAACAACUUCACAUGACCUUGAGGAGUCAAACAUUAAUAUGAUAAUCAACUAAAUGAUAAGGAAAAUUUAUCAAAUCCUUGAAAUCAGCCACGCAUCGUGCUAGUCAACUCCAGCCACAGCUAUAUAUGAGGACCUUUUUUGUUCCCUUCCGCCCUUCGGCCGUGUUAGAUAUAUUGAGUCAUACACAGAUCUGUAUAUUAGCGUUAUAAAGCUUCUUUACAAGCGGACAUCCGCAUCGGGGCAUACAUUUCUCUCUUCUUAUAUAGGGAGAUUGUUAGUUUCCCUCUAUUAAAAUCAAUAUGUAUCACUUACCAUUGCGGCUAAGAAUAAUCAUAUAUACAUAUAUAAGAUAAUUCUUAAGUUCGAUGUCUGCAUUCAUCAUUGUACACAGGCAAACUUCUUUAGAAUACAGGGUAAUUUUACACGAAGGGAUCCCUUUGGUCAAAUAAUUUUGCAAUGAAGUAAGAGUGCACGCAUGUGAGGCUUUGCACAUGAUUUUCUGCAUCGACGACUGAAAUCAAUUAAUUUUCGUUGAGAACGUUAUCGAUCAAAGGCACUCUUUAUCCAUGUGCAUCUGGUCGAACGUGAAGUUCUAGAUAUCGGGUAAGCCUGCUCGAUUUCUGCAUCUACUUAAAUUAAAUAAAUUUGUUUCGGUCACUGUGAAGCUUUUUCUUUUUAUUUUCUUUAUCCACAAAUACUUAUAUAUGAAAAAAUAUAUAUUCAUAUUUUUCGAAACUUAAUGGAAUAAGAUAGCUAAACCGAAUUGAUAGGAUAGAUAAACAUUAAAUAUCAUUCUAAUAUCAGACUAAAUCAACGUAAUUAAGUUACACAUUAGAUUUUGUUCUAAUAUAAAUGACUCAAUAAGAUUUUAAUAACGCAUUAAGCGAGUUUAAAUGAUGUUCUAAUUCAAAUGACUUUACAAGAAUAAUUUCAAUAAAUAAUUCCAAAGAAAUUAUAAAAAAAGCAUAUUUUUUUUAUUAAUCAAAGUUUUUUGAGAAAAUAACAAGACCUCCCUAUUUAAAGUAGAGCUAAUCUCCUACCCUAAUUUAACUUAAAAAGGAAACUAAAUCAUAAUUAUAUCAGAAAUAAGAAUUAAAAUACAUACUACAAUAGACUUUAAUUAAAAAUAAAAAAAUCAAAUGACCUAAAAUGAUAAAAUUUUAAAAUCCUAAAAUAAUGUACUAAAUCAAAAUUAAAUAUUAAUUCCGUUGAAAUCACGUAGGAUCACAAAGUAGCCUACUGCAAAGUUAAUCUAGUUAGUGCUUGAGCAGCUACGCUAGAAGAAAAACUCACAUAAUGAAAAUCAGAAGGUUGCACCCACUGCAGCAUCUCUAAUUAGCCAAUAAAUCUCCUUUCGAGUACUAUUGUUGAAGUAACCAACCUUACUACAUUCUGCCUAUUAGACUCAAUGAAAGCAAAAGUUUUUGAGCUCCCAUAAUGUCUUCAACUAGCAUUCUCAAGUUGGGAAUACAAACCCCACAUUUCGCCAAUGCCUUAGUGGACUGUGAAGCUUAAAAUGCUAAGAAUCACGUAUAAUAUGUAUUGUAAAGAGUAUGACCAAAAGAUUUUAUUAAUUUUAUUCUUUAAA